rnacentral:rRNA from 1 species
UGGGGAAUAUUGGACAAUGGGGGCAACCCUGAUCCAGCCAUGCCGCGUGUGUGAAGAAGGCCUUUUGGUUGUAAAGCACUUUAAGCAGUGAAGAAGACUCCAUGGUUAAUACCCAUGGACGAUGACAUUAGCUGCAGAAUAAGCACCGGCUAACUCUGUGCCAGCAGCCGCGGUAAUACAGAGGGUGCAAGCGUUAAUCGGAAUUACUGGGCGUAAAGCGAGCGUAGGUGGCUUGAUAAGUCAGAUGUGAAAGCCCCGGGCUUAACCUGGGAACGGCAUCUGAUACUGUUAGGCUAGAGUAGGUGAGAGGAAGGUAGAAUUGCAGGUGUAGCGGUGAAAUGCGUAGAGAUCUGGAGGAAUACCGAUGGCGAAGGCAGCCUUCUGGCAUCCUACUGACACUGAGGUUCGAAAGCGUGGGUAGCAAACA